UACAGGGGGUGCAAACGUUGCUCGGAAUUAUUGGGCGUAAAGCGCGCGUAGGCGGCUACUUAAGUCGGAUGUGAAAGCCCCUUGGCUCAACUGAGGAAGUGCACCCCGAAAACUGAGUGGCUUGAGUACUAAAAGAGGGUCGCGGAAUUCCCGGUGUAGAGGUGAAAUUCGUAGAUAUCGGGAGGAACACCGGUGGCGAAGGCGGCGACCUGGGUAGAUACUGACGCUGAGGCGCGAAAGCGUGGGGAGCGAACAGG
rnacentral:rRNA from 1 species